rnacentral:rRNA from 1 species
UACGAAGGGGGCUAGCGUUGUUCGGAAUUACUGGGCGUAAAGCGCACGUAGGCGGACUGCCAAGUCAGGGGUGAAAUCCCGGGGCUCAACCUCGGAACUGCCUCUGAUACUGUCAGUCUAGAGUCCGGAAGAGGUGGGUGGAAUUCCUAGUGUAGAGGUGAAAUUCGCAGAUAUUAGGAAGAGCACCGGUGGCGAAGGCGGCCCACUGGUCCGGAACUGACGCUGAGGUGCGAAAGCGUGGGGAGCAAACACG